ensembl:rRNA 5S_rRNA 5S ribosomal RNA
GGUUCAGGCCUUACCACCCUGAACACGCCUGAUCUCAUCUGAUCCCAGAAGUUAAGCAGGGAGGGGUCUGGUUAGUACUUGGUCAAUUAAAAGAUAAAUUUAUUUUGGCACAAAAUUAGUUUUUUAAACUA